GCUUUUCUCUGUCCCUCCCGCACUUACUCAAGUUAGGGAUCGCCACCCAGUUGCGCUCCGUCGCCUAGGACGGGUAAGUGCAAGUAGGCAGGGACAGGGGCGUGGGUGGCAGACUAGUGGGUGCACGCUCUCCCUCUCUCCUUCCGGGGAGGCAUGACAUUAUUACUUCAGU